GGUUAGGAAAAAUAGGAUUUUGAAUGAGACUGAAUUGUGUGUCCCCACACSGUUAGAUAUACAAGACUGUGUGUACGUUCAUGUGUGUUAGAGAAYYUGUGUGUGUGUGCAAUGUGACCGGUAUAYUAUGUGUUGCCGUGUCCUCUCAUGUCUCARGGUUGAUCCAAAGGAWMUAUUCAAAUCUGCUAAUGGAGGAGUGUACUAUACUGUCAGGUAUCCACUGUGUUUGCCUGGAGGCUAUCAAACAAGUUAGUCAGGUCUACCCUCCCUGUUCUGUUCCCUCCCUCCCUCACAAACACCCACAGGCAUUCUGUUGGGUGGAUCUCCACUGCCUGCAUGGACUUGAUUUACAAGAGGCUGCUCCUCACUGAUACAUACUCUAGGAAAUAGCCAUACGCUACUGAGGAUGGCCUUGUGCACGCUCAUGCUAACAUGCACGAUCACGAUCCCUCCCGGACCCUGCUCACGCAGCCCAAAGAGUGGCUGUGUAUUUAAGAGGUGUGUCCUAGGCAGGCGGAAGAGUCCUAUGGAGGCAUUACCUGUACUGAGCAGUAUGAUUGGUCAGUCCAGCAGCGGUGAUGCUCUGAUGCCCUUCCCCCCUCUCUGACCA